GGAGGAAACCAUGGGAUCGCAAGACCUUGCGCUCAUUGAGCGGCCGACCCCUGAUUAGCUAGUUGGUGAGGUAAAGGCUUACCAAGGCGACGAUCAGUAGCUGGUCUGAGAGGACGACUAGCCACACUGGGACUGAGACACGGCCCAGACUCCUACGGGAGGCAGCAGUGGGGAAUUUUGGACAAUGGGGGAAACCCUGAUCCAGCCAUGCCGCGUGAGUGAAGAAGGCCUUCGGGUUGUAAAGCUCUUUUAGCCGGAACGAAACGGUCACGGCUAAUACCUGUGACUACUGACGGUACCGGAAGAAGAAGCACCGGCUAACUACGUGCCAGCAGCCGCGGUAAUACGUAGGGUGCGAGCGUUAAUCGGAAUUACUGGGCGUAAAGCGUGCGCAGGCGGUUUUGUAAGUCAGAUGUGAAAUCCCCGGGCUUAACCUGGGAACUGCGUUUGAAACUACAAAGCUAGAAGGG
rnacentral:rRNA from 1 species